rnacentral:misc_RNA from 1 species
GUGAAUCAUCAAAUUUUUGAACGCAAAUUGCACUCUCUUCGGUGAGUAUGCGUGUUUGAGGGUCAGUAUUAAUAAAAAUAGGUGUGUGGCUUCUUUGUGACUCUCCGGGGUUUGGGUCAUCUUAAUAUCCUUUAGGUUUUAAGAGGCUUAAAAUUGACUUUUUUUGCUCAUUUUAGAUGUACAUAAAUUCUUUUUUUAUUCGUCUGUCUUAAUGCUCAAAAUCCUAUUAGUUGCGACGGUAUG